UGGGUUUCUCUUUUGGAAAUAGGGCAUGUGGAGUGGUGUCAAUUAGAUCUUCUAUUUCUGUUAAUAGGAACUGGGUGAAAACUUAAAAGAUGACUGCUACAAUUGAUAUAUUGCAACCUGUUUGUUGAUGUUGCCCUGAGAUCUGGCCUAAUUAUUUUUGUUCCUAGAAGAGAGUCUAAGCUUCAUCUCAGGCAGCUUUCUUGGAUCACAAGACAGAAAUGUGAACUGAAGAUGGAAGAGUAACAAUACAGAAGAGCUGUGUUCCUGACACUGUCUGGGCCACCAACCAUGACUUGAACCUGAAACAGAAAUAAACCUGUAUCUGGGU